GAGUGACUUAGGAUCCCUGCUUCCCAGCAAGUGUUUUUCCUCUUCUGCUGUAGCUGGAGGGUUGUGUGUUAAUGGAUUACUGUUUACAGGAGUUUCUGUCCCCAGGGCAAGCCUUGACCAUGCACUCAGCCCUAUUCCAGCCUUGAAGAGGUCUUGGAUGUUCUGUGUUUAAGGAAGACUCAUACUGCCCGGUGGUGGAAGCAAUCAACAGGUUUCAUGGGGCCCGUGGUUAUGAGUAUUGGCCACCCAAGCUAGGUGCAAGGUUAGACAUGGCGCUUACUCUUUCAUUCAUUGAAAAUUUAGCCUAUGCCAGUCAUCUGGCAAGUCCUGUGCUGGCUGUAUGGAAAAUAGGAUCUGCUGGAUGUCAGGGAUGGAUUUCUCCAGGAAAGUCAGGGGUGGCACUGGCAUGGGAUUCGUGUGUGAACCUGGGUAAGUUGCCUCACCUCUUCAAGCUUUUCCCCAUUUGUGAAGUUAGUCUCAGAUGGGCCAGGUGUCAUCGAAGGUGAGAGAGGUGACAGCCUUUGGCCUGCAUGUACCUGGUGGUCUCUGCCCUGGCUCUUGUGCCUUUAGAGAUGACUGAGUCUCCCAUGCCUCCACCUUCUGAGACCUGGCUUUUGGGGACACUCAAUGUUCUUUUGAGUAAAACGAAAAUAACUAGAACGCAUUCAUUCUGUCUCAGGCAUUGUGCUCAUCAUUGUUUUAUUUGAUUUUCAUGUCCCCAUAUUAUAGAUGGGAAAACUGAGGCUCAGAGUGGGAAUCCCUUGCCCAGGACCCCCACUGCUGAUCCUUGUAGCCUGACUCAGCCCUGUGCCCCAAAUCCCUCCCCUGCUGCCUCCUUGGGAUUAAAGUGGGACCAGGCUGGUCAGUCCUAGUGUUCUGUCCCAUUUCCACUGUGUCAUUGCUGUGUGAUUUAGGGCCAGUGACUUUGCCUCUCUGAGCCUCAGUCCUCAUCUACAGAAAGAAGACACUAAGAUUUUCCCUGUGGGGUCGGUGUGGGGUCAGGUGAGGUGGCAGCAUAGAAAGCCUCUGGCACAUAGUAGGCUCUUUAAAAACCAGAGCCCUUUCCCAUUAAAAAAAAAUCAGUUUAGAGUUUUUAAAAAGUGGGUAAUGAGUGGCUUUAUAAAUGGUGAUACAAAUCUUCCUUGUUGUUGGUAGCAGGAAUAGUCACUCAUUGUAGCAGGAAUUCAAAAUAAUCAUUAGCAUUGAUGGACUGUUUCUGAUACUCUAGUUCCUCCGACACAUGGGUUUGUGCAUGAUUUUAUCCAGUUCCUUAUCCGUGCUAGUGUUGUUCUCAUUUUACAGAUGAGGAGACUGAGGCUCUGUGAGGUGAGCUGCCUUGCCCAGAGCUACUGGCAAGUGGCAGGCAGGGAGCCUGGGAGCCCUUUUGUGGGUGAAUCUCAUUGGCGGAGACUCAGCUGUAAUUUCAAAGGCUCCAGGUCAGGGCUGGGGCUCCCAGCUGGCUCUGUUGAUUUUUCUUUCCUUUCUGUUUUGCUUCCUUAGUGACAAAAGCCCUUUCUGGGGGCUGUCCUGUUUGCCUGUGGCACGGCAUGGUGAGGCACUGCCAGGGGAAGGAAGUGCGGGAUGUGCGGGGCCUCACGGCAGAGGGAGGCCAGCGGGGGGCAGGGGGGUGCUGGGUACACCGAGGCCACUCUGUGAACUCCCGCCACCCUGCCUCCCUGGACACGGAGCCUGGGCCUUGGUGGGCACAGUGCCUGCCCAGCCCUACCCGGUGCCCUGGGCUGGGUCAGGGAGUGACGUGGCUGGGGAACUCCCAGGGCCCUCUGGCCUGGGAACCUGCCCAGGUUUGUCUCUCCCUUUCAUUUUAGGCCCCAGCCCUGGAAAGCUUAUAUCUGUGCUUCUAGAACAGAUUACCUGCCUGCCAGGGACUGUGCUUGGCACGAGAUGGGGUCCUUGGCUGUGGCAGAGAACACUAGUACCCUCUUCUCUGCUAUGUGUCCUUGGAUAAAACCCUUCUCCUCUCUGGGCCUUUCUCACAGGGGGCCAGGAAACUGGAUGAGCAGGUCCUAGAGCCUCUUAUUCUUGCUGCACCUUCUGAGAAAAAGCAAAAACAGCCCUUUAAAAGAGCUGGGGCGGGGGCGGGGCACUAUUUGUUGAGGACCUACUGUAUGCCAGCUCCCUUGCUAGGGAGGUAUUAUAUCUGUGUCUUCCUGUCAGUCCUCAGAAUGGCUUGGAGAUGGUAUUACUAACCCCUUUCACAGAUGAGAAAACAGCCUCAGAGAUAUAAAGCCCUCAGAGCCACUUAGCUUGAGGUCUGGAUUUGAACUCAGAUCUGCCUCCUGGAAAGCUGCCACAGCCUACAGUUAAUAACACAGUGGUCCUCCCGCCUCCCACUGACCCCGCUGGAAAUACCAUCUCUCUCCUCAGAACUUCCAGGGAAGUGUAUGCUGUCCUCUCCUGGGAUAGUGUGUCAUUUUCCUUUGUUAUUUAGUAAGUACCUACUGUGUACCAGGGCUUGGGCUGGGUCCUGGGUCUCAGAGCUGCCUGGGACACAGCUCCCACCCUCCCAGAGGAGAGAGAUGAGGGGUUGGAGGGCAGCCUGCCCAGGGCUGUGUCGGGGGGCAUGGCCACGGUGGCACUGGGGUAGGGACCAUAUUCUCCAGGUCCCACCUCCUGGCAGCCUUGUAGCAAAGCCGUUUCCCUUGACACACUCAACUCUGGAUGCACAGAAGCGUUGGUACCUAGCAGAUCGCCUCUUUCUCCCAGGGGUGAGGGGUGCCUGGUUACUGUCGGAUUUAAGAGGUGAUAGUACGUACCAAUGUUGUCUUUAUCCAGAUGCCUUCAUCACAGCUCCUCUGCCUGCCUUCCUUUCCUUCAUUGAAAUGGGGGGUGGUGGUGGAGGGGGCCAGCAAAAACUCUGGAGGAAUUUUUGGAAUGCCCAGAAUGCUGGCUGACCCAGCAGAGCAAGUGUGAGCCAUCUGCCCUGGCUUUAGUCGGCUCAGCCGGGCGACCGCAGGGCUUUCUGGGUGUCACCCAGUUCCUGUGCCCAGGCCCAGGUCACUCCCAGGAAGGUGGCUCUUCCAUGGAUCACAGCAGCAACCCACCCUGAUGACACUGCCUGGGUUGGGAGCCUUGCUGCCCUCGGGUCAUCUGCUUCUGUUUUGUCCCCAGCCCUGGGCAUGGCUUCCCUUCUCUGCCUGGGUGUCCACACCCUUGCAGUGGGGGUGCUGGUGCCUUUUAGCCUGGAGUGCUCCCAGCCAGGUCACGUGGGUGAACACUGGGGUGAAUGACCCAUCAAUGUUUGUGCUGGUCUAUUGGAGCGGGUGGUGAUGUUAGGUAAAGCCCCCACUGUGCACAUGCGUCUCUGGGGUACCAUGGGCUUCCCAUCCCUUUACUGUCUGCACUUGACUGGCCCUUCUGCCUUAAGGUGGGGGCAGGAGAUAACUAACUGUUCACAGCUUUAAUGGGUGACUCUCAGCUCAUUUUCCAAAUAAAUAGAUUUUAUUCUCUUUUUAUACUUACUUCAAUAUAUUUACGUCAUGCUACAGUUUCAUUGUCAAACAUUUAGAAAUACAGAUAAACAAAAACGGGGAAGUAAAACUCCUGUAAUCCCACAGAGUAAAGAUAACCCGGGCUAAUAUUUUGUGAUGUGAGUCUUAGACCUAUGCAUGUGUACAUGUGGUUGAGAGAUGGGUCAAGCUGUAGCUGUAGCUACUAGCCUACGCCACAGCCACAGCAACUCCAGAUCCAAGCCGCGUCUGUGACCUACACCACAGCUCUUGGCAAGGCCGGAUCCUUAACCCACUGAAGGAGGCGAGGGAGCAAACCCUCAACCUCAUGGAUACUAGUUGGAUUAGUUUCCACUGAACCACGGCAGGAACUCCUGCAUGUGUUUUCUUGUUUGGAGCACCAAGCCCCUUUCUAGCAGUGCUGGAAUCCACAAGUGGUGGUGGGUUUGGAUUUUAGGCUGGGGGGCUGCCCUGACCACCUCCUCCAGGCAGGAUUCAUGGCAGGGACUGCCAGGAACAGGGGUUGGGCAGCUGGUUUGGCCCACAUCAAGCACCCGGGCAUGUUCACAAGCCGGCCCUGAUCUUUAUCGCUCAGGGAUGCUUCCUGUCCUCACUGAGGCCCGGGCGUCCAUCCAGAUGAAAGCCGCUGGCCGGUCCCAGCGGGCUGAAGGUGGCCCCUGUGAACAAGCGCAUCGAGAGUCCUCUUCCUCCUCCCUUGGCAGCAGUAGCGUCAGAAGGAUGGGCUCAGCCACCCCUGGGGAGAGGGACACAGGCAGCCGGCCACCUCUACACAGGCCUGUAACUAGGAAGGCACCUGACACCAGUGGGGACCCAGAGGGCCAGAGUGAGGGAAGGAGUGUGGGGAGCCAUCAGGCAGGGCAGUUAACGGAGCCUGGUUUU
rnacentral:lncRNA from 1 species